UCCCACGCCUUCAGAAGGCUCCGCACAACAAGACCGCAUGUUGCUCUGUCGAGCGCCUCCGGUCAAUUCCGUGUCCCGCUGCGGCCGCGGUACCUCCCAGGAGCAGCCCAACGCCCCAACCUGCACAGGCAGUGUCAUGCCAGACGUUCCUCCCUAGGGACAUCCCCAGGGAUACAUGGAUGACCCCUCCAGCUCCUGGGGACUUGUGUCACGUGUGUCUGAUGCACAGACUCAGAGAUGGAGGAGUGCCAACCAGGCUUGGCACGGAGCGUGGAACAGCACGCAAGUCAGGCCGGGGUCCGGGCCUUGUGAUCUUGGGCAGGAAGAGAACAAAGAGCAUUUUCCUGAGCAAUACUUACACACUGGGUGCUUGGGGACCAAGUGAUGAAGCCCCAUGUGCAGCAGUAACUGCAAUCUGAGACACUCCGAUCACGGUGUCCAUCAUGCACUGUCAUCUCCAAGAUUCGUCCGUUUUCUGAGUAGGCCGAGUGAGUGACUUCAAUAAGGGUUUGUGGAAAUCACCACCCCCACGUCUUCCAAGGCCUUGGUGGGAACUCCAGUCUGUAACCUCUCCUGGAAGGCAGUACUGCUUUCAAUAUAUACUUCGGAGGGAGUUCUAGAGACUUGUACUUGCCCUGCCACACAGCACGAACUCCUGGCCGGCACAGUCCCCCGUGGCUAGCAAGGAGGAAGCCGGGAGCUCUGCGUCCCUGACAGCUCGGCCCUGUGGCCUCUGACACUGAAGGAGCGGCACUGCGGGCACUUGGUCGGGGUGGGGGGGGUGCUGCUCCUGAUACCAAGACCCGGUCCUCGUCCCUGAGGUCAAAUCACAAAACACAAUGACAAGGUUUUGAGGAAAGGAAAGGAUAGUUUAUUGACUUGCUAGCAAAUGAGGGAGUGGCAGGCUCCUGCCUUAGGGAACCACCUUCCUCCUGACAUGCAAGCGGUCAGGGCUUUUCAAGGGGAAAUGGUAGGAGAGAGGCUGGGGUGCAGACACAUGAAGUAGCAGCUUGCAGGGGCCCAAGCAGACAUUCCUGCGCCAAUUCACUAGCGUUUUGUUUUUCUUUUCUGCUCCUCCUCAGUCCCCUGGGACAGAAUGCCUUUUGAGUCCCUUUUUUAGUGAACUUUACUGGCCUUAAUUCUCUCUCAUCCCGCUCAUAUCUAUUUUUCUGCCGAACACUCCCAAGACUGACCAGCCUCUCUGUAAACAUCCCAUAGACGUGCUGACAGGCCCCUCAGGUCUACAGUGUGUGACACCCAGGCAAGAAGCCUGGCUAUAAUUUCCAUUUUCUCCACACGAUCCUGCUCCUUUCAACAAAAAGAUGGAGGUCCUGGGUCAGCCCUUGGUCAACGUAGCUACUUGACCGGUGGUGGCAGCAAGAAUUUCUUCUCUCCCUGAGGUUCCCUUAGCUGGAGUAAGAAACAGAUUGACGUGAAACAGAUUAACAGGAGAAAAAGUAACAAAAUUUAGUUAAGUACAUACAGGGAAGCCAUAGACAUCUGUUCCACAGACAGGGUGUGGGUAAAAUUGCAAUAUUUGCAAAACUCUCUUGGCCUGGCUUUAGUGCAUGUCCGCAUCCACAGGGGUUUCCAAGGGGUGGAGAGAAGUAGUCCGUCUCCAUCAGUGGGUGAUUACGUGGGCGAGCGAGGGCUUCCCUGGACCAGAGAGCUUGGUGGGAGUAUUGGCUGUCUUCUACUGCAGCAGGAGAGAGAGAGAGAGAGAGGGAGACGCAGGGCGACUGCUUGUGGGCAAUAAACGGCUUUUGAACACUAUUUCUCCCUUUGCCUGAUUUCGCUUUCAAAGGUGUUUUGCCCUGGGAUCUCCCCUCCCUGGAGUUACGCAGGGAGAAUGAGGUCUGUGUGUCCUCCUGAACCACGGA